rnacentral:rRNA from 1 species
CCUACGGGUGGCAGCAGUGGGGAAUAUUGGACAAUGGGCGAAAGCCUGAUCCAGCCAUGCCGCGUGUGAGAAGAAGGCCUUCGGGUUGUAAAGCACUUUCAGUGGGGAAGAAAGCCUUGGGGCUAAUACCCUCGAGGAAGGACAUCACCCACAGAAGAAGCACCGGCUAACUCCGUGCCAGCAGCCGCGGUAAUACGGAGGGUGCGAGCGUUAAUCGGAAUUACUGGGCGUAAAGCGCGCGUAGGCGGUCUGAUAAGCCGGUUGUGAAAGCCCCGGGCUCAACCUGGGAACGGCAUCCGGAACUGUCAGGCUAGAGUGCAGGAGAGGAAGGUAGAAUUCCCGGUGUAGCGGUGAAAUGCGUAGAGAUCGGGAGGAAUACCAGUGGCGAAGGCGGCCUUCUGGACUGACACUGACGCUGAGGUGCGAAAGCGUGGGUAGCAAACAGGAUUAGAUACCCGAGUAGUC